rnacentral:rRNA from 1 species
AACUUACCAGGUCAAGACAUGGGCGUGAUUGACAGGCUAAUGACUUUUCUCGAUUCCAUGGAUGGUGGUGCAUGGUCGCACUUAGUUGGUGCAGUGAUUUGUCAGGUUUAUUCCGGUAACGAACGAGACCUCGGCCUUGUAAAUAGCUAUGCUGCUUACAGGGACAUUGGCGGCUACGCCAAGGAAGCUCGAGGCAAUUGCAGAUCUGGAAUGCCCUUAGAUGUCCUGGGUCGCACGCGUGCUACAAUGACGCCACGAACGAGCUUGCGUGAUGAAAGUUACGCAUAAUCAGCAGUCGGCGUCUUAAGGGAUAGUCUCUUGUAACUGUGGGACUCCAACUAGGAAUGUCUCGUAAGCACAAGUCAACAUCUUGUGUUGAUUACGUCCCUGCUCUUUGUACACACCGCCCGUCGCUCCUACCGAUCGAGUGUUUAGGUGAAUUUGAUGGACGUAAGGAAGUCAAAUAAACCUGAGCACUAGAGAAGAGAAGUCGAUCAUGU